UACACAACACAAAGAAAGAAAACCUAAGCCUAGAGAGAGAGAGCAUUCGGCCAAGCUUGGCUGAUUUUUGAGCUCUUUGAAUCUUGAUUCAAAAUUUAUUUUCCAAGGUGUUUCAACCCUUUAGAAGGUCCCUAGAAUGUGAAGAUAGUCUUUGGAGCAACAAGAAUCAUUUUCAUCUCAAGUCACCAACUCUAGCCAAGUAGAGAAGUCAAGUUGUCAAGGUUGAAGUAUUAUUGGGCAGCGUAUACAUAUUGUGUGACAAAUAAACGCCAAAGGUGCAGAUACUCGCUUGGGUGAUCCGACAGCUUAGGAUUUCCUUCUGCUAUUUUGGAGAGUUCCGCUGUUCGGGAGCCCAGAUUUGGUAUAGAUCCUUUCUGAUCUAAAUAUAUGCAUAUGUUGACUAAGGGUACGACGGGGCCCUGUCCCGUCAUAUUUCACUGUUGAAACUCUUAGAGGUCUGUAGACAUGUGUGUGGGUCGUAUGCAGACGUGAUCAGUUGUGUGUGUGUUAUCAGUAUGCUUAUUCUAUCAUGGUAGCAGCCUCGUCGGCUCGCAGACAUUAUCAUGUUGUAGUAGUAGCCCUGUCGGCUUGCAUUUAUAUGUAUGUUUAUGUGACAAUUCCGAGACCAUGGUUUGGUCGUUAAA